GACGAACGCUGGCGGCGUGCCUAAUACAUGCAAGUUGAGCGCUGAAGGUUGGUACUUGUACCAACUGGAUGAGCAGCGAACGGGUGAGUAACGCGUGGGGAAUCUGCCUUUGAGCGGGGGACAACAUUUGGAAACGAAUGCUAAUACCGCAUAAAAACUUUAAACACAAGUUUUAAGUUUGAAAGAUGCAAUUGCAUCACUCAAAGAUGAUCCCGCGUUGUAUUAGCUAGUUGGUGAGGUAAAGGCUCACCAAGGCGAUGAUACAUAGCCGACCUGAGAGGGUGAUCGGCCACAUUGGGACUGAGACACGGCCCAAACUCCUACGGGAGGCAGCAGUAGGGAAUCUUCGGCAAUGGACGAAAGUCUGACCGAGCAACGCCGGGUGAGUGAAGAAGGUUGUCGGAUCGUAAAACUCUGUUGGUAGAGAAGAACGUUGGUGAGAGUGGAAAGCUCAUCAAGUGACGGUAACUACCCAGAAAGGGACGGCUAACUACGUG
rnacentral:rRNA from 1 species